rnacentral:lncRNA from 1 species
CCUCCUCAAAAUAGGCCCAACUUGCAGGUGGUGCAUCCUCAGCUCUACCCCCUUUCCACUGGUCGAACCAAGUCCUAGCGACAUUCUUCAGUUGAUAUGUAUCUAGCUCAACUCUCUCAUUAUCAGCAACAUGCAUCACAUCAAACACCUUUUUCAGUUCAUCAACAAAGUUCUCCGAAUCCUCAAAAGUGCUUGAACCAGUGAAACCUGGAGGAUUCAUCCUCAAGAACUAACGAAUCCUUGAAGUGUCAG